UACGGAGGGAGCUAGCGUUGCUCGGAAUUACUGGGCGUAAAACGCACGUAGGCGGCUUCUUAAGUCGGUGGUGAAAUCCUGGAGCUCAACUCCAGAACUGCCUUCGAUACUGGGAGCUCGAGUCCGGGAGAGGUGAGUGGAACUGCGAGUGUAGAGGUGAAAUUCGUAGAUAUUCGCAAGAACACCAGUGGCGAAGGCGGCUCACUGGCCCGGUACUGACGCUGAGGUGCGAAAGCGUGGGGAGCAAACAGG
rnacentral:rRNA from 1 species